CGUUAGAGCAUUGAGAGGACCUUUCCCUAGUACGAGAGGACCGGGAAGGACGCACCUCUGGUGUACCAGUUAUCGUGCCCACGAUAAACGCUGGGUAGCCAAGUGCGAAACGGAUAACUGUUGAAAGCAUCUAAGUAGUAAGCCUACCCCAAGAUGAGUGCUCUCCUAUUCUGACUUCACUAGAGCCUCCGGUAGCACAGCCGAGACGACAAGGGGUUUUCUGUCCCUACGGGGAUCGAGUGAUAGAAGGUUUAAGAAUUCAAGAGAAGGUCACGGCGAGACGAGCCGUUUAUCAUUACGAUAGGUGUCAAGUAGAAGUACAAUGAUAUAUGCAGCUGAGGCAUCCUAAUAGAUCGG
rnacentral:ncRNA from 1 species